UCCCUCUCUGCGAUCGAGCGCCUUUCUCCCUCCCCCGCCCUCUUCCUCUCUUUCUCUUAUCUUGACAUUUCGCCUCGCUUCCCUCUGCCCACUCCCCGGCGGGUUUCCCUCGCAGGCAGGCGCGCCUGCUCCAGCCUGCCCGCCCCCGCACCACCUCCAAUUGUAGGUCAACUCGCUGGCUCAUGUUGGCUUAGGUGUGCUCUUGUUUAAGCGUUUUCCAUAAGUGGGAUCAGACGCUUUCCCCACGGGGCUCCAACUGGAAUUACUUCUCCUUGGCUGUGGAGUUGGGGGGCGGGGGCGGGAAUCCCGCGGGACGUGCUGCCAUUCACGCCGCCCUGGGGUCACUGGGAUGGCUUCGGGGCGCUCCGCGCGGGUUGGCAGCCCCACCCGGGCGCCUGCUCCCGGGGCCUGGCUGCCGCGGCGGCCUGCGGAAAGGCAGAAGCACGCGAAUCCAAGGGGGACAAAGCGAGCCGAAUCCCUCCAGAGCGUUUCGAUUCUCAGUAACUGCGCCCGGGGCGCAGCCUCUAUCGGUGAUUUACUUGCCAGAAACUCCCUCCUCCCAGACCUGAGACCCGGAGCCGAUUCCCGGGGGGCGUCGGUGCGCCCCUGCCAAGGGGCCCUGGCACCGCGACUCCCGCCCCCCUCCCCACCUUUCCCGCAAGAGGGAGGGCACCGAGACACGCGGAAGCCUCCUCCGAAGCCCCGGGGGAGGGGAUGCUUGAAGACUCGAGUGCAACCAAUUGUCAACCUCCCUUGGCCCUACAGCUUUUCCCUCUGUACGCCCCCCCGCCCCGCCCACCGCGCACACACCCUGUUCUCCCUCCCGCACGAGAGCGGGCAACUAACUGCACGCUCCACGGGACCAGGGAGGGGGUUGCCCAGCCCGGGUACGAAUGUCGCCUGCCAGCCGGAAUGUGGGUUCCAGACGCAGAGCGCACACGGGGCGGUGGGCUCUCUGGAGACCAGGGGGCCCAGGAACUGUCAGUUCCGGUCAGGGACGGAAUGGGGCCCGGUGGCGGGGGGUGGGGGGUUGGUGGAG
rnacentral:lncRNA from 1 species